rnacentral:rRNA from 1 species
AGAGUUUGAUCCUGGCUCAGAUUGAACGCUGGCGGCAUGCCUUACACAUGCAAGUCGAACGGCAGCAUGGGAGCUUGCUCCUGAUGGCGAGUGGCGAACGGGUGAGUAAUAUAUCGGAACGUACCCUAGAGUGGGGGAUAACGCAGCGAAAGUUGCGCUAAUACCGCAUACGAUCUACGGAUGAAAGUGGGGGAUCGCAAGACCUCAUGCUCAUGGAGCGGCCGAUAUCUGAUUAGCUAGUUGGUGGGGUAAAAGCCUACCAAGGCAUCGAUCAGUAGCUGGUCUGAGAGGACGACCAGCCACACUGGAACUGAGACACGGUCCAGACUCCUACGGGAGGCAGCAGUGGGGAAUUUUGGACAAUGGGCGCAAGCCUGAUCCAGCCAUGCCGCGUGCAGGAAGAAGGCCUUCGGGUUGUAAACUGCUUUUGUACGGAGCGAAAAAGCCCUGGUUAAUACCUAGGGCUGAUGACGGUACCGUAAGAAUAAGCACCGGCUAACUACGUGCCAGCAGCCGCGGUAAUACGUA